UUUUUAUUUUACAUAGCUCUGAGAUCUUGGUUUCUAGAUCAAAUUGGGAUUCUAACGGUUGUUUUUUUUAGCUUUGGACAGUAGCCAGGCUGUUAGAGGCAGCCAUGCGGUUGGCGUCUACAGUAACACCACAAGGAACACUGAUGGGGAGAUAGUAUUUGGCAGUUAGACUCUACAGGGAGAUAUCUGAGCAGCAGCUAGAGGAAUCCCCUUCAUGGAGCCCCGGCACCGGUGGUGAUGAUGGCCGAUGACUCCUCUGAGACAGAUGAUGGCUGAUGAAUCGGCGAAGCCUGGGCGGUUACAACAAAAGACAACAGCAGGAAGAAACCGAGGAACCUGUGAGCGCUGAUGAGUGACCCGCUCACACUCUAAUGAGCCAUGAAAUGUGCAGCUGCAGAUGUUGAUACAGUGAGUAUAUAGACUUUGGUUCAGAUGUUUUUACCUGUGAAUGGGUUUUCGUGAUAAAGUGGCUCCACAAUGAUUAUUAGCUUUAAUGGCUUGUUACAGAUUUCAUAAACUUAAGUAAAUGAAUACUAACAGAAA